rnacentral:rRNA from 1 species
AUGCACCAUCUGGUCGUGGUCCAUGCCGUCGCGGCGCCCAUGACCACAUCGUCCUGCCGCACGCAGCAGCCACCUCUUGACGUGGACGGCACCUUCGCAACACGGAUCACCAUGCCAUCAUCAACUCGUGGCAUCACACCGCAACCGGCCAACAGCGGCAUCGCACCGCUGCCAGCCAUCACCUCGCGUCGGCGUCCUCCACCUCACAUGGAGUGCACAACAUCACUGCCGUCGCAGCCGUUGCCUCCGCCCACCGCCAUGCCGGCCACCAUAGCCGCCGGCACCGUCGUCGCCGGCAUGGAUCAACAAGGCUCUGAUACCAAUUGUUGGCGCCGCCUCUCC